UGAAGACGAGGACACGAUGGCCGCAUGAGGAAGUGAUGUCAGGACGCUCUGCAAAGCAGGAAGAAGGCCAUGGAGUCCUUUUUGACUUUGGGAGUUUCCACCGAGGAGGCGGGACAACACCUGAGCGAGGUGUGUCAGCAACUUCCAACCUGAUGACACUUUAAUUAUCUUGUUCUCUUUAUGACAUGUAAUGACUCCAUGUCAUGUAUGACCGCGCUCCACAAGGUGGCGCUAUGUGCAAUAAUGACGUGCCAGGCGUUUAGCCACAUUAGCUGAGCUUGCCCGACGCUAUACUGUAAGUAGCGCAUCAGUCCUUAGCAUUUUUGACACAAACGUAAUCCCUUUAAAUGUUUGUACUCGCUAGCCCCCGAGGCACAUGGUAGCAUCUACAUGUUAGCGUGUUUCUUUCACAACAUUCUAACGAGCACAUCUGUCACAACCAGGCCUGCUACCGAGGCUAAGCACUGUUAGCCUAGCACAAAGUGUUACCUUUCGUUGUCUUCCAGCAGCCUCCAGCAGGGGGCGCCAUGUUUACACCACUCACACAGCCCUGCAUAAAGUGCUAGCAUCACAGCAACAACAUGGCCAUAUACAGUAUGAUCUUUUUUACAGGGUUGGAAGGGCAGAGGGUGGGGCCCGCAAUUUGAGACAGCUUUUUUUUUUUUUACGAGGAGGAAAUGAGCCAUAAACAUGACAAUAACCGGAGUGACAAUAAAACAAAAGUGUUUGUUCACACACUUCCAAGUACUGCAUGUACACAACGUGUUGUCUUUGUGCUGAGCCUAGCCCUUCAAAACAAGUUCUUGCACGUUUAUGUCGAGUAUUACGGUAGAAGGCCGUUUUCAAAAUAUACUGGCUAUUUGUUUGGAGCAGACUACAGAUUUAAAGGCUUGGACCACCAAUGUUGAAGGGCCUUUUAUUUGGAAAUGCCACAAUCAAACUGGAGGGGGGGUGUUCUUUACAUGUUUCCUGUUCUAUGGUAAUCGUCACACUUAUGUUUUGGAUUCCUACUUAAAGGUUGUGUGACCUGAUUUCACGUUCUUGGUUCAGUUGAAUUAUUUUGAUUUAAAGUAACAGAUGAUGGUUAGUUUCACAUAUAAGAUUUCAGGGGCUUUUGUUGUGAAAUUGCACAACUGAAUGGCUACUUCCUGGGUGACACGGAGAGCCGGUCUUCUUUGUGUGUGUCCUAAGUGGAAUCUUCUUAUCAUUCACGUGGCAUCUGAGGGCAGUAUAGACGAGGAAGACGCUCCAGGCGCUGAGCGACAUUCCCGGGAUUCCUUGCAUCAUUCCUUCGUGGCUUCCUGUCUAACAGGUGCAGUGAGCCGGCUCGGUGCAUUUCAGGCGUUCGCUAUGGCUGAGUGUCUUCGCAGGAUCUGUCCUGCUCUGUGGUCCAAGGUCCACGGGGACAAGAAGUCUCCACCACAGGCAGCGGAGGACGGAGACAAACAACAACAGCAGCAGCAACAGAACCCGGAAGCGCCCCCUGAGUCACCAGCAGAGGCGGAGGAUGGAAGCACCUUCAAGGCCAUGUGGGACUUCCAGGGCAGGAGCCGCAACGAGCUCAGCUUCCAGGCGGGGGACUUGUUCAGGGUCCAAAGCCGCAUUGACGACUGGUGGACGGUGGACAGGAUAGACGAGACCGGCAGCGUCCUGGACACCGGCCUGGUGCCCGGUAACUACCUGGAAAAGAAGGAAGACAUUCUGGAAGAGGAACCGUGGUAUUUUGGCAAUAUGAACCGCUCAGAAGCCCAAAGUCACCUCAUGGUACCAGAAAACGAGCCGGGAGCGUUCCUGGUCCGCUCCAGUGAGAACCAUCCGGGCUACGUCCUCUCAGUGCGGUCCAGCUGUCGAGUAAAGCACUUUAAGAUCAUCCAAACACCAGAAGGUCAAUUUGACCUGGACCGCAUCAAUCAGUUCAGCUCACUGAGACACCUGGUGGCACACUACUGCAACAACUGCCUCAACAACCUGGACAAGCUGGGAAAGCCUUGCCGGAGGAAAACCACAGCACCAGAGAUCAACUUCCCAGACGACCAGUGGGAGCUUCCCAAAGAGGAGUUCACCUUGGAGGACAAGUUGGGCAGCGGCUACUUUUCUGACGUCUAUCGAGGAUGCUGGAAGUCUCGCAUUCGCGUGGCCAUCAAGAUCAUCAAGAACGGGUUUUUUGAAGCUGUGGUGGUGGGCUGCAUGGGAGGGUGGACUGGCGCCACUUCAAAUUCCGAGGUGAACCACUCAGAGUUCCAGCGGGAGGUUCAGAUCCUGAAAAGUCUUCGCCAUCGUCACCUCAUCUCGCUGUUCGCCAUCUGCACCGCCUCGUCGCCGUACUACAUUGUCACCGAGCUGAUGGAGAAGGGAAGUCUGCUCGACCUCCUCAGAACUCCUGAGGGCAAACAGCAGGACAUGAUGUCCCUGGUGGACAUGGCUUCCCAGGUGGCUGACGGGAUGUCCUACCUGGAGGAGCAUGAAUUGGUCCACAGAGACUUGGCGGCCCGGAAUGUUUUGGUAGGAGAAGACUACAUCUGCAAGGUGGCCGACUUUGGCCUGACCCAAGUCAUCAAGGAGCCCAUCUAUCUCACCUACCAGAAGGCCAUCCCCUACAAGUGGACCGCUCCGGAGGCCAUCAGCCACAGCAACACACCCUUCUCCAUCAAGUCGGACGUCUGGUCUUUUGGCAUCCUGCUCUAUGAGAUAGUCACCUACGGAGGCGUCCCCUAUCCAGGUAUGAACGGGAAGGAAGCCCACGAGCUGGUCGUCAAAGGCUACAGGAUGCCGUCUCCGUCCAAUUGUCCAAAAUUCCUCCACCAAAUGAUGUUGAAAUGCUGGAGCGCCGAGCCCGCAGAGAGGCCGUUUUUCACAGACCUAAAGAUCGAACUGGAAGCCACCUACGAGAUCGAGUGAUAGCACAGCACCGCCACAGGGGGGCGGCAGAGUCAACCCAAAAAUACUUUUCAACAAGUGUGCAUUAGUGUACAAUACAAAGUACACUUGAACAAUCAUUUUUAAACAUACGGUGGUGUGACAGAGUAUUUGCACCCUUCCUGAGUUCUUUUUAUUUUUUUGCAUAUUUGUACACAAAUGUAAAUAUUAGUCAAUGACAACACAACUGAACACAAAAUGCAGUUUUUUAAAUUAAACUUUUCGUUAUUAAGGGAGAACAAAAAUCCAAAUCUACACGGCCCUGUGUGAAAAAGUGAUUGCCCCUCCUGUUAAAACAACUAUGAUUAAUUGACAUCUAUCGAUGUGGUAAAGGUUAUUAAGCCAUUUCUAAGGCUUUGGGACUCCAGAAAACCACAGUGAGAGCCAUUAUUCACAAAUGGUGAAAACAUGGAACACUGGUGAACCUUCCCAGGAGUGGCCGGCCAACCAAAAUGACCCCAAGAGUGCAGCGAAGACUCAUCCAAGAGGUCACAAAAGGCCCCACAACAACAUCCAACUUGCCUCAGUUAAGGUCAGUGUUCAUGACUCCACCAUAAGAAAGACACUGGGCAAAAACAACCUGCAUGGCAGAGUUCCAAGACCAAAACCACUGCUGAACAAAAACAACAUUAAGGCUCGUCUCAAUUUUGCCAGAAAACAUCUUGAUGAUCCCCAAGACCUUUGGGAAAAUACUCUGUGGUCUGACGAGACAAAAGUUGAACUUUUUGGAAGGUGUGUGUCCCAUUACAUCUGGUGUAAAAGUAAAAAGAACAUCAUAGCAACAGUAAAACAUGGUGGUGGUAGUGUGAUGGUCUUCAAGACCUGGAAGACUUGCUGUGAUAAAUGGAAGCAUGAAUUGUGCUGAAGGAGAAUGUCCGGUCAUCUGUUGGUGACCUCAAGCUGAAAGCAACUUGGGUUCUGCAGCAGGACAAUGAUCCAAAACACACCAGCAAGUCCACCUCUGAAUGGAUGAAGACUUUGGAGUGGUCUAGUCCAAGUCCUGACCUGAACCCUAUUGAGAUGCUGUGGCAUGACCUUAAAAAGGAAAAGCCUCCAAUGUGACUGAAUGACAACAAUUGUGUAAAAUUCCUCCCCAGCGCUGGAAGAGACUCAUUGCAAGUUAUCACAAACGCUUGAUUGCAGUUGUUGCUGCUAAGGGGGGCCAACCACUUAUUAGCUUUAGGGGGCCAUCACUUUUUCACACAGGGACAUGUAGCUUUGGAUGUUUUUUCUCCCGUAAUAAUAAAAAGUUUCAUUUAAAAACUGCAUUUUGUGUUGUCAUUGACUAAUAUUUCCAUUUGUUUGAUGAUCUGAAACAUUUAAGUGUGACAAACAUGCAACAAAUCAGGAAGAGGCAAACUCUUUUCCACACCAGUGUAUGUAUUAACCUCUACGCCUAUGGCUGUCAUGUCUGUAAAUAGCUACUGUAUACAUACUGUAACUGUGUGUGUGUUUAACAUGGUUGCUAGCCCGCUAUUAAGUGGGUCACGUUGACAGUUGACCUCCAUUCAAAGCACACACGUUUAACUUAAACGUACAUUAUCGUCAUGCAUCAUGCAUACUCGGAAAUGACAAAGGAAGUUGUCAGCACUUUGCUGAAAUUGGCGCUCAUUCACCACAGCGACAAUAAAGUCAAAACGUGCAAGGUCGCAUUGUUUUUAUUCACAUUUCAUGGCUGAAGUUUAAAACUAUGCGCUCACACACUUAUUUAUCUGAGAGCACACUUGGCCUCCUAACACAGAUACACACACGCACACACACGCCUAUGUCUAUGUACAGACUGUCUAUGUACUGUAUGUCUAUGUAUACACCCUCAUACACAAGCUGAUGCUUGUCCCACAUUUUGACCCACUGACAUGUCUAUUUGUGUUAGUGUGUAUGUAGGCAUGUCCUGUGUGUGUGUGUGUGUGUGUUGCCAGUCAUGAUUCAGCAUCCUUGGCUCAGUGACAAAGUGGUCCAUCGAGUUCAGACGUGCAAACAAGCCAACACUGACACACAACACACGAACUCCUUCUUUUCUGUGACCUUCACAGUAUGACCUCCAAAGAUGAGUUCUUAAAGGUCCAAAUAGAAGCGUGGUGUUGUCCCAUAAAACAACCUUAUUGGGUGUCAUAAGUCCCUGAGAUCACAGGACACAGGAUCAACAUCCGACGACACCAUGACCAGCGUUUGUGCCCCCGCCUGCCUGCUGGCCUGCAAACACCUUGACAGCAGUAAGGAAAGGACGCAGCAGAGACACUUCGUCCUCUCUCGUCUCACCGAGCGACUCUUGGACACGACAUCGCAGACUGACCGAAACCAGCGGCGGGUCACGCUGUGGGUCGGCAUGGCGGCGCCCCCAGGGCCCGCAGAUGCAAGCGCAGGUCUGAAGAUCCAUGUGGUUGUCGAAGCCGGCCGUCGGGUGAAGCAAAGCAAACGCACCUCGUCAAUGCAAUGAUGGCUCUCUUCGACCAAUCAGGAUGCAGGUGGCAAAUGGUGAACAUGUCUUCCUCUUGGGGACGUUUCCACUGCCGUGUUUGUCUUUCCUGUGUGUGUGUGUGUGUGUGUGUGUGGCGUCAACAGGGAAACAUUCCUCUGAUGUUCCACUCUUCGUGGAGGUCAAUUUGUCAUGAUAUCAUGAUAUCAUCACGAUAGAUCAAACCUGUCGUGCGCCACUUACAGACGUUCUACAGGCACCGUCAUGUGGACUGUCGCCAUGGCAUUUGCCUUAAAUAUUAGGUACACCAUCAGACAUGUGUUUUGUACAGAUUCAUAUAAUAUUGACACUUUUCUAGUUGUACUUUUGUUAUACGGUGGUUAGGUUGUAUCCAUGGUUUGAUCCUGGAACAGAUGAUUCAUAUUUCCUGUGGGAACAUGUUUUAGUUGAGUCAUGUGACACUAACUAGUCCACUUCAAGAUGCAACAAUCGACUUUAUUGCAUUUACUUUCCAACCAGGGUGACAAAGUGAAAAAGUGUGUAGGUGAGUGCAUUAGUGUGUGUGUGUGUGUGUGUGUGUGUGUGUGAAGUGUACAAAUACAACAAGUAGGUCCAAAAAAAACAACACAUUACAUUUUUUUUCUUCAUCAAUAAAAAAAGUUACAAGACACAAAAAGAUCCUACAACUACUAAGAAAGAGGAGCUAAAAAAAAUGUAAACGGGACGUCCUCCCGUCACCUAGCGUUGGUUGUGGACGCUUCUCGAGGUGUGACGUGGCCGUGGGAAUGUGACAGCAGCAUCAGGAGGAGGCGGGGCUUCCUGCCUCGCUGCCCUCGCUCACCUGGCGCUGCAUCACCAUCUCCUUGGCAACGCAGGUGAUGCUGCCAUUGGUCUGCACACCCGGAAGACCCACCCUGCAACACACAGCAAGCCUCACUGGAGAUGCUGCUCUGCCCCCUGCUGGCUUGGAGUGUGUGUGUUUGCGUGCGUGCUCACCUCUGCUGUGCCUCCUCAGUCAGAGGGGUCAUUCCUGGCUGCUUCCCAAAGAAGAAACUGGACCACCAGUGACCAGAGUCCUGUUUGGGAAGGCCUGUGGGGCACAAAUUCACCAUCAGGUUAAAAAAAAAGAAAAAGAAAAUGCCCCGCCCCCCCAGUGUGACAGACAUAUUUACAAUACACUUGAUAAAUGACCAUGUGAUGACCCCCCCAUCCCCAUAAGAACACAAAGACAACCACCUGGGUGGUGAGGAAUGACCUCGCCGCUGUACUCUGAACUGCCACACGAACUGCUGCUGGAUGUCGAUCCGAUGCGCCCUGUGGGGGAAUUGGGGGGGGUUAGUCAAAUAUGAAUGUGACCUGUGACCUCCCAUGAGUAUACAAGGCAGAAGAUAUGGGGGCUGACUUCGGUAGUAGUCGGUGGUGGCCACUAGAGAACCGCCUGCUGGAAUGGCUGCCAUGGUGCUGCUGCUUGAUGGACCUGGUGGAGACCUGUGGGGUGGGUGGGGGCAUUGUAGAGUCAACAUCCCAUAAUAACAGCAACAAGCUGAUUAUUUUUAUUAUCACUUCGUUUAUUUUGGCUCCCGUUAAACUUACUGGCCAUGACGUCACUCGCCAGCGUGUACCAACAAUGUUUAUGUUCAACGUGCGCGUUCAUGUGCUCCUUGUUGUGAAGGCACGAGACGUGAAUGCGCGCACAGGCCGAGAUGGGGUGUGGAAUCAAAUGUUUUGGGUUCGUUUUUUUUUGUUUUUUAUCCCUAACAUUUUCAUCACGUUCUAACCAUACGUAAGCUCUCGCGUCAUUAGCUGUGUCAGACAUUUUGAAGAGGAGAAGACGAGGGCCGAUGUCGCCGUUAGCAUGCUAGCCCGCCCCCCUCACAUAAUGCACAUAUGUAUGUACAUAUACAGUAUAUUAAGAAAUAAACAAAUAUUUUGUCACCUUUUAGUGAACCAGAGGCGCUGCUGAUGAUUCGAGUCAGUCGGCGAGGCUGAGGGGGUUAACGCUAGGCGACGGGGCCCAUCUGAAAGCAAUUUUUUGGGCAACGAAAGCCUCGUUUAUCUGCUGACUGCUAGUCACUGCUGCUGUGAGCUCAGCCCGUCAGCUCCGCUACUUAUACACACGCCAUGACGCAACGCAAGAGGGCGGGUCCUCUGCCAACUUCAUCUGCAGUCAUUAAAUAGAAAGUCACUGGCCACGCCGCCAACGCUACAUUAAAACUGUACAGCAUGUCAAUCUAUUUUUUGGAGCCACUCUCAGCUACUGGACAGCAUACUGUAUAUACACUUUUAAUAAAGAGAAACAUGAAGACUAACAAAAUAUAACGACAUGCAACCACCGUUAUCAUAUAUAUAUUAUCUAUCUAUAUUAUCUAUAUUUACCUUCACAGCCCUAAUUAUUAUAAUUACGUAUUCAGAGGUGAAAAGUAUCUCAUUACAUUCCCGAUACAUUAUUCCCGUUACUUUAAUGUACUAUUUUUUGUGGAUUAGAACUUUUAUAGUGUUUUUUAGGUUAGGUUUUGUUUUUUGGUUAUGGUUAGGCAGGACGGGUUGUUUCCCGAUUAAUUCAGUUUUAUUGUGUGCAUUUCGGUGACAAUGUUUUUAACGUUACGUUUGAGUUGUUGUUGAACUUCCAAUCAGUGUACAUGCAGCACCCUCUGGUGGUCAGAUGUAGGAAAAGCGACAUCGCUGGUAAACUCACUCUUCACAGCGAAGCCCAUAAAAAAAUGAACUUCAGUCAGUCAG